GUGUCAGCAGCCGCGGUAAUACGGAGGGCGCGAGCGUUGUUCGGAAUUACUGGGCGUAAAGCGCGUGUAGGCGGCCUGACAAGUCGAAUGUGAAAUCCCGGAGCUCAACUCCGGAACUGCAUACGAUACUGUUAGGCUCGAGUCCCGGAGAGGAUGGCGGAAUUUCCGGUGUAGAGGUGAAAUUCGUAGAUAUCGGAAGGAACACCAGUGGCGAAGGCGGCCGUCUGGACGGUGACUGACGCUGAGACGCGAAAGCGUGGGGAGCAAACAGGAUUAGAUACCCUGGUAGUCC
rnacentral:rRNA from 1 species